rnacentral:rRNA from 1 species
CGUACGGGAGGCAGCAGUGGGGAAUAUUGUGCAAUGCGGGAAACUCUGACCCAGACCCGCCGCGUGCGGGAAGAAGGCUUUCGGGUUGUAAACCGCUUUAGUAUGGGAAGAAGGAAAUGACGGUACCAUACGAAAGCACCGGCUAACUAUGUG